GGGGCCGUAGUCUAGCUUGGUCAGGACCCGAGGUUUGGGACCUCGUGACCCCGGUUCAAAUCCGGGCGGCCCCA
rnacentral:tRNA from 1 species